rfam:Myotis lucifugus cont2.13427, whole genome shotgun sequence.
GGUAGUUCUCGGGUGAUGCACCCUGGAAUCGGGCUCCCUCCUCUCUGACUUCAGGUGCAUUACAUGAGAACCGCA